rnacentral:lncRNA from 1 species
GGGUGCGGUGGCUCACACCUGUAAUCCCAGCACUUUGGGAGGCUGAGGCGGGUGGAUCACCUGAGGUCGAGAGUUCCAGACCAGCCUGACCAACAUGAAGAAAUCCCGUCUCUACUAAAAAUACAAAAUUAGCCGGGCGUGAUGGCGCAUGCCUGUAAUCCCAGCUACUUGGAGGCUGAGGCAGGAGAAUUGCUUGAACCUGGGAAGCGGAGGUUGUGGUGAGCCGAGAUCAUGCCAUUGCACUCCAGCCUGGACAACAAGAGUGAAACUCCAUCUCAAAAAAAAAAAAAGAAAAGAAAAGAAAAGAAAGAAAACUCAGCUAGGAAUUAGAAACAUCAUUUGUCCUCUUGGCCUGUUCAGCUGGUGACUGUAGAUUUGAUGAAAAGGAAACUUGGGACUCCGGAGGACCAAGAUGGAGCGAGACGGUCAAUACUGAUGGACUUGCAGCUAGCACCAUGGCAGCCCUGCCUGGUCUAAGGAAGCUGGCAGGAGGCGAUGGUACCUGGCGGGGGCAGACUGCCCACCUCCCCACUCCUUCAGAGGACUGUUUCCUGCCCUUCACACCAUCAUCAUGUUGGGCCCUGCAUGUAUGUUCCUGCACUUGGAGCGAGCCCAGGGACACAGGGCAGACACUGGGCUCACAGAUGUUGCUGCAGCUGAGCCAGAAAACAUUCCAGGCAGGAAAAGCAGGUGCACACAUUCACACAGGCCUCUGGUCACUCGACCAGCCAGAAUGAGACGGACUCCUUGACCUGGGAAGUCAAGUCCCAGUGGGAAGGGCUGGAAAUCACACGUGGUCAACUUCUUGGCUCUCUCUGCUCCCCAAACCCUGGCCCUAGGCUUGCUUUAUCAUCACAUCCCAAGGCCAGAGGGCUGCUGCUGUCCCCAUCUUGGCCCUGCUAGAAGAGGGAUAGGGGUGGCUGGCAUGAUGGGUGAGGGGAACAUGAGAAUAUGCAGAGGCCUUGGAGGAAGAGGACUGGCAGUUAUGACAGGAAGGCUCUCUAUACCUGGCUCCCCAGUGUUCUGCCCCUGGCACUGAGCAUGAGGAGCCAGGCUUUGGGGAGACUUUGCAAUCACCCCCCCAACCUGGUCCAUUUUCCACAGGUAGCUUUCUUGAACUCACCUUGACCCCUCCUCAGCCAGCAGCCCCCACCUCCAGGGGCAAAGGAGCUGAAAGACAGUCCUGAACUGGGGGGAGCUGGGAUCACAUCAGCCAGGCCCUGUCCCUCACAGGAAGUGAGAUGAGGGCUCUGGGAAAGGAUCCUGCAAGUUGGAACCUCCUAAGACUCCAGAACCAGGAGCGGCUCCCUCUCAUAUCUACUCCCCUCAAACCCUGUCAUUCCCGGGAAGCUCCCAGAGGCAGCUGAGGCCACGCCCCUGCUCCUGAGCGGCAGCAUCCAGACCCGGAAAGGACCUAGUUUCAGCCUGGCACCUCCCAAGGCCAAGAGCUACACUGUCUGUACUCCAUGCGCCACCCCCGCUGGUGACCCAGCAACUGCAAAGGGCCUCUGGUUUGUCCCGCUCUGGGAGGAGACUCAGUGGCUUUUCCUCCUCCUCAGCUGCAAGGAUCCUACCCCAGCCCAGCCCAGCUCUGAGAAACAGGACUUUGCUACAGCCCGCCUCAAAGCAUCUUGGUGGAC